rnacentral:rRNA from 1 species
GGAGUGCUCGAAAGAGAACCGUAACACAGGUGCUGCAUGGCUGUCGUCAGCUCGUGUCGUGAGAUGUUGGGUUAAGUCCCGCAACGAGCGCAACCCUUGUCAUUAGUUGCUACGAAAGGGCACUCUAAUGAGACUGCCGGUGACAAACCGGAGGAAGGUGGGGAUGACGUCAAGUCCUCAUGGCCCUUAUAGGUGGGGCUACACACGUCAUACAAUGGAUGGUACAAAGGGUCGCCAACCCGCGAGGGGGAGCCAAUCCCAUAAAGCCAUUCGUAGUCCGGAUCGCAGUCUGCAACUCGACUGCGUGAAGUCGGAAUCGCUAGUAAUCGUGGAUCAGAAUGUCACGGUGAAUACGUUCCCGGGUCUUGUACACACCGCCCGUCACACCAUGGGAGCGGGUUCUGCCAGAAGUAGUUAGCCUAACCGCAAGGAGGGCGAUUACCACGGCAGGGUUCGUGACUGGGGUGAAGUCGUAACAAGGUA